GACAGAGGGUGCAAACGUUGUUCGGAAUUACUGGGCGUAAAGCGCGCGUAGGCGGUUACUUAAGUCGGCUGUGAAAGCCCUCGGCUUAACUGAGGAAGUGCACCCGAAACUGAGUAGCUAGAGUACGAAAGAGGGUCGCGGAAUUCCCGGUGUAGAGGUGAAAUUCGUAGAUAUCGGGAGGAACACCGGUGGCGAAGGCGGCGACCUGGGUCGAGACUGACGCUGAGGCGCGAAAGCGUGGGGAGCAAACGGG
rnacentral:rRNA from 1 species